rnacentral:rRNA from 1 species
UACGUAGGAGACGAGCGUUGUCCGGAGUUACUGGGCGUAAAGGGUGCGCAGGCGGCCUGGCGCGUCGCGAGUGAAAUCUCCCGGCUCAACUGGGAGGGCGGUCGCGAGACGGCGAGGCUUGAGGCGUGGAGAGGGGCGUGGAAUUCCGGGUGGAGCGGUGAAAUGCGUAGAGAUCCGGAGGAACACCGACGGCGUAGGCAGCGCCCUGGACACGACCUGACGCUCAGGCACGAAAGCGCGGGGAGCGAAC